UGACAUCGCCAUCAAAUUAGCCAAAGAAGGCGCAAAUAUUUUCUUCAAUUACAAUGGUAGUCCAGAAGCUGCAGAAGAAACAGCAAAACUCGUUGCUGAACAUGGUGUAGAAGUA
rnacentral:sRNA from 1 species